GCAGGAGUUACAGUGCUCAUGCGCAGCUGGGCGGUGACGAGGUGACGCUUGGAGCGUGGGCCGCGACUCUCACGGAUCCGGUUCCGCCCUCCCUCUGGCUGCAGAUCCUCCGGAGCGAGCGCCCGAGAUCCCUUUCCCAGAGUGCUCUGCGCCGUGAAGAAGCGGCUCCCGGGGACUGGGGGCAUUUUGUGUUGGCUGGAGCUGGAGUAACAAGAUGGCGUCGUCGGCGGAGUGACAGGGGUCCCUCCGGGCCGGAGCCAGCAGCAGUGCUGGCAGUGGUAUCGCCGCCCUAGCUCACCGCGCCCCUUUUCCUGCCCGCGACGUCGCCGCUCAAGCAGGCAUCGGCCGCCAACGAGAACAAGUGGCCCAGCCUGGUAGCCGCGAGAAGCCCUUCACAAAGUGCGGCCUGGCAAAAAGAAACCUGACUGAGCGGUGGUGAUCAGGUUCCCCUCGGCUGAUUCUGGGCCCCGAACGCCGGUAAAGGCCUCUGUGUUCCGUUUCCUGCUGCCUUCCUCCGUAGCCUUGCCCGGUGUAGGAGCUCGAGAGGUCUCCGUCUUCCCCUCAGAGGUGUCGGGGCUUGGCCCCAGCCUCCAUCUUCGUCUCUCAGGAUGGCGAGCAGCAGCGGCUCCAAGGCCGAAUUCAUUGUCGGAGGGAAAUACAAACUGGUACGGAAGAUCGGGUCUGGCUCCUUCGGGGACAUCUAUCUGGCGAUCAACAUCACCAACGGCGAGGAAGUGGCAGUGAAGCUAGAAUCUCAGAAGGCCAGGCAUCCCCAGUUGCUGUACGAGAGCAAGCUCUAUAAGAUUCUUCAAGGUGGGGUUGGCAUCCCCCACAUACGGUGGUAUGGUCAGGAAAAAGACUACAAUGUACUAGUCAUGGAUCUUCUGGGACCUAGCCUCGAAGACCUCUUCAAUUUCUGUUCAAGAAGGUUCACAAUGAAAACUGUACUUAUGUUAGCUGACCAGAUGAUCAGUAGAAUUGAAUAUGUGCAUACAAAGAAUUUUAUACACAGAGACAUUAAACCAGAUAACUUCCUAAUGGGUAUUGGGCGUCACUGUAAUAAGUGUUUAGAAUCUCCAGUGGGGAAGAGGAAAAGAAGCAUGACUGUUAGUACUUCUCAGGACCCAUCUUUCUCAGGAUUAAACCAGUUAUUCCUUAUUGAUUUUGGUUUGGCCAAAAAGUACAGAGACAACAGGACAAGGCAACACAUACCAUACAGAGAAGAUAAAAACCUCACUGGCACUGCCCGAUAUGCUAGCAUCAAUGCACAUCUUGGUAUUGAGCAAAGUCGCCGAGAUGACAUGGAAUCAUUAGGAUAUGUUUUGAUGUAUUUUAAUAGAACCAGCCUGCCGUGGCAAGGGCUAAAGGCUGCAACAAAGAAACAAAAAUAUGAAAAGAUUAGUGAAAAGAAGAUGUCCACUCCUGUUGAAGUUUUAUGUAAGGGGUUUCCUGCAGAAUUUGCCAUGUACUUAAACUAUUGUCGUGGGCUACGCUUUGAGGAAGCCCCAGAUUACAUGUAUCUGAGGCAGCUAUUCCGCAUUCUUUUCAGGACCCUGAACCAUCAAUAUGACUACACAUUUGAUUGGACAAUGUUAAAGCAGAAAGCAGCACAGCAGGCAGCCUCUUCCAGUGGGCAGGGUCAGCAGGCCCAAACCCCCACAGGCAAGCAAACUGACAAAACCAAGAGUAACAUGAAAGGUUAGUAGCCAAGAACCAAGUGACGUUACAGGGAAAAAAUUGAAUACAAAAUUGGGUAAUUCAUUCAUUUCUAACAGUGUUAGAUCAAGGAGGUGGUUUUAAAAUACAAAAAAAAUUUGGCUCUGUGUUAAAAAAAAAAAAAAAAAAAGACGUCCUUGGAAAAUUUGACUACUAACUUUAAACCCAAAUGUCCUUGUUCAUAUAUAUGUAUAUGUAUUUGUAUAUACAUAUAUGUGUGUAUAUUAUAUCAUUUCUCUUGGGAUUUUGGGUCAUUUUUUAACAACUGCAUCUUUUUUACUCAUUCAUUAACCCCCUUUCCAAAAAUUUGGUGUUGGGAAUAUAAUAUAAUAUAAUCAAUCAAUCCAAAAUCCUAGACCUAACACUUGUUGAUUUCUAAUAAUGAAUUUGGUUAGCCAUAUUUUGACUUUAUUUCAGACUAACAAUGUUAAGAUUUUUUAUUUUGCAUGUUAAUGCUUUAGCAUUUAAAACGGAAAAUUGUGAACAUGAUCUAAUAUCAAGAGGUGAGUCUGGCAUUACCCCUGAAGUUACAGAGCAUUUCAUUUACUCUCCUAAAUGCUCACAUAACUGCAAAACUCAGCACAUCUUUUCUAGUCACUAAAAUAAUUCUCUUAUUUGCAGUUUAACUACAUAUGAUCUUAAUUUCAAAAUAAUUUCUUUGCUUUUUGCUUUAUUUUUUAAAAUGUUGCAAAUAUCAGGCUCUCUGGUUUAAUGUGCAGUUGAAAUCUACAGUCAGGCCUUGCAAAUUGGAGAUGACUGGGGCAAAUGCCAUUGAAACUGCUGGUCUAUUUCCUUUCUACUUUUCUCUGGCACUCUUACUGCCUGUAAGAAGUAGAACUGUUAGGGCACACUGUUGCCAUACAGUUUGACUCCCAUUUUCAUGUUUUAUUUUUCUUUUCCCGUUUCUGGGGCUUACUUCCUGAUACCUGCCUACUUUCUGGAAGUAGUGGGCAAGUAAGAUUUGGCUUUUGGUUUGUAAUUUUUAAAUUUCUAAAUGACUGCUCUAGUCUGAACUUGGCCUUUAUAGAUUAAUAUUUGCUUCACAUUUUUAGUGUUGUAUUUAAACUAUUUUAUAAUUUAAAAGUAGAUUCUAAUCUGAAGAUACUUUUCAAGAAAUAUUAUUAACGGAUGUCAUCCUCAUCCCAGGAGCUCAUCUGUUAGGAAUGAAGUUGAAAUGCUUUUCUUACAUGUUUCUGUAUUUGGGAAGGAUUCAAAGUUGAUGGUUUAUUGUCAUUGGGAUUUUCAGAUGGUGACAUUUAAACUCAGAAUAGCAAACACUAAUGUUCGCACAGUGCUCUGCCUCUGCAUCUCAGUUGGUCCUUAAUUGCCCCUUUUGAGUGUUUUAAUCAUUGUAUAACUAAUCAUAGUGCCAAGAAGUUCAUAAUGUGUUGUGUAGCUAGUGUCACUGAAAAAUAGUCCUACCAUUUAAGUAAGAGUCUCUAACCCAAGGACUUGCUACACCUGACACCUAUAGUGUAUUUGCUUUUUCUCACAAAAUGAGACCAAUUCUGCCUAAAGCUAGCUGGGAUAAUAGGAUCAUCACAAGUUGCAGUUUCUGUAACUAUAAUUAGAUUGAAAUCUCAUCUGACCUAGAACAUUUUACUUCAGGCAUUCAGCAAACUUCAGAAAGAAUUAACUUUUUUUGAGUUAGUUCCUUAGUUAGUUUACUGUGUGUCUCUUUUUCAAUAAACGAGCAGAAUUUUUGUCCUGCCUUAUCCAGGUUGUAAAGAUGAGAAGUAGGAUCCACUCAGUUGGGAUGUUUCCUUGGGAGGGUGGGGAACUGUAAUUUAACUUGUUUAAUCCUUGUUUUGUAUUGUAGCUGUUUUUCAUAAAAGCAACUUAAAAUCUUAUACAAAUUUUAUAGCACCAUUAGACACAAUGGUCAUACAAAUUAUCAUGGACUUGAAAAAUUAGACUUUUCAUAAAACACAUCAUAUGUCAUUGACUGCUCUUCAUAGAUACACUUCCAAGCAUCUGUAUUGCUACCAAAAAGUGCCACUUCACCUAACACAGACUUCUUUUUGCUCUUUGACAUCUUGAAAACACCCAUUUGUUUUUUAAUACAAAACUUAGUGCUCAAGACAAAUCUUAUAUGAAACCCUCAUAAGCCAUGAAAAUACGGAUGGUCUGGGGUCUUAGGCAUGAAAUAAGCAUUAGGAACAUACUCUCCUAAUUUCUACCCCCACCCUAGCAGGUUAUUCUUUAUAAAAUCUUCUAGGAGUUUUGGAAUUAGAAAGCAGUUGCCCUGGGUUAUUCUGCUUCCAGUCUCUAAGUAACAAGGGCAUUUGAAAGCAUCGUCUCUUCAGGUCCACUGUAGUGGUUUUUUAUUUAAGAAAUAACUCAAUUGGGCAUGGUGGCUUAUGCCUGUGAUCUCAGAACUUUGGGAGGCCGAGGCCAGCAGAUCACUUGAGGCCAGGUGUGGUGGCGUACACCUGUGGUCCUAGCUACUUGGGAGACUGAGGCAUGAGAAUUGCUUGAACCUGGGAGGCAGAGGUUACAGUGAGCCAAGAUUGAGCUACUGUACUCCAGCCUGGGUGAUUGAGUGAUACUGUCUCAAAAAAAAAAAGAACUCAUACAGCUCAAUGAUUCAUUGAUCCCAAUAAAUCCUUUUAAUAAUGAUGAAAACAUCCUACUAGGUUUUUCUAGUUAAAAAACUUUAAGACAGGCGCAGUGGCUUGUGCCUGUAAUCCCAACACAUUUGGGAGGCCGAGGUGGGAGGAUGUAGGAGGAUUGCUUGACUCCAGAAGUCUAUACUUGCCUGGGCCACAUAGUAAGACCCUGUCUGGCCCCUCCAACACUCCCCCCCAAAAAAGCUAGGCGUGGUGGUACGCACCUGGGAUCCGAGCUACUUUGGGAAACUGAGAUUAGAGUAUCACCUGAGCCCUGGAGGUUGAGGCUGCAGUGAGCUGUAAUCAUGCCACUGCACUACAGCCUGGGCAAGAGGUGAGAGACCCUGUGUCAUAAAAAAGAAUUUUUGAAAGGUGCUUUUUAAAUGCAUUUUAUCUCUUGACAGAGUUAAAUUUUCAGAGGCUUUAGUAUUAUUGAAUUGUCAUGAGUGUACUUUAAGCAAGUAAAUCUCUAAUGUAGGAAAAUCCCUCAAAUGGUAACAUUUACUAAUGUUUUAUAUGGUUAUUUUUGAAAAAUAUAUCUAAUAUUUCUCUAGUAAAAAUGGUGUUGUUUUAGUAACUUAAUAGGAAUGUUUAAAGUCUGGCUUAUGUAGCUAAUGUGGACCUAUUAAAUAAUAGACAGACUUUUGUCUUUGUUAUGUUCUUUAGGGCUUUUCAAAUACUCCAUUCCAAAGCCCAUCAAAAGAUCAAGAAACAAGGCCUUUCCCUUUAUGCCAAUUAUUAUUUGUACUGGUUUUUAAGGUUCAAUUACCACAAGAUUAUAAUUAAUGUUUUUAUUCAUGUUCAGAAGAAAAAUACAUACGUUUCACACCAACACACUUCAAAAUCCAUUUCUCUCCCUUUGACUAUAUGUGAUUAUCAAAAAAGUAUUUUUCAAGACAUUAAAAAUAAGUAAAGGAAAAGGAAAUAUUUUUAGACCAUUCAAAAUCCCAUGAAGUUCAGUGUUUCUUUAGUUGAGGGCAGAGGUGGGGAGAAUUUCAGAAGGUAGUGAGCCCAAAGGGUGGAUUCUUACCUUUGGGUUCUCUAACCCAUCUGUUUACUACCCUAACCAUAGUUACCAAGUAGAGUUUUAUCGUUAAUAUAGAUAGCUAUCAAAGUGUUGACAUUCAAAGGAGAUUACAAAUAGUUAUUUUUCUAUCAAAUUGACCAUGUCCACAGUCUUCCUUGAACUACCUUCCAGUUUUCCUGGGCUGCAUCUACCAUUUAUGUCUAGUUUAACUUUUUCUGACGUUGCCAAUUGCUGCUAGGAAUGUGCUGGUCAUUCAGCAGCACAACCAGAUCACAGGGGAAGAUCUUGAAAUACCUGGACCAACUGAUCAGUCUGAAUACACUGCCCUGAAUACACUCAAUCCAAAGAAGUACCAGGGAACUACAUCUUGCUGAAGCCUUGAAUUUUUGUCAGAUUUUUUUUACUGUGGAUAGUAAAGCUGGAAAGAAAAGAUCUAAAUAACCCAGCUGGAAAUGCAGAUGAAAGUGCAAGAGUUGGUUUGUGGUCAUCUGGAGUCCACUUCUCCAAGGCUGCUGGACCUUCAAAUUUUGCAGCUUGUUAGAUCUUCUGGAUGAUAGCACAACUGUUAGAAGACCUAGAAGAAUACAGUGUUGCUGGGACUCGGUGGUGUUUAAUGCAGACCAUUUACCAGCUGGGGAAAGAAUUAAUUAAAACAGGUUUCUAAGCAUGAACUGAGGAACAGAAGAAGCAGAGCAGAUGAUCGGAGCAGCAUUUGUUUCUCCCCAAAUCUAGAAAUUUUAGUUGAUAUGUACACUAGCCAGUGGUUGUGGACAACCAUUUACUUGGUGUAAAGAACUUAAUUUCAGUAUAAACUGACUCUGGGCAGCAUUGGUGAUGCUGUAUCCUGAGUUGUAGCCGCUGUAAUUGUGAAUAUUAACUGAGAUAGUGAAACAUGGUGUCCGGUUUUCUAUUGCAUUUUUUCAAGUGGAAAAGUUAACUAAAUGGUUGACACACAAAUUGGUGGAGAAAUUGUGCAUAUGCCAAUUUUUUGUUAAAACCUUUUGUUUUGAACUAUACUGCUUUGAGAUCUCAUUUCAGAAGAACGGCAUGAACAGUCUUCAGCCACAGUUGUGAUGGUUGUAAAUGCUCACAAUUGUGCAUUCUUAGGGUUUUUCCAUCCCUGGGGUUUGCAAGUUGUUCACUUAAAACAUUCUUAAAAUGGUUGGCUUCUUGUCUGCAAGCCAGCUGAUAUGGUAGCAACCAAAGAUUCCAGUGUUUGAGCAUAUGAAAGACUCUGCCUGCUUAAUUGUGCUAGAAAUAACAGCAUCUAAAGUGAAGACUUAAGAAAAACUUAGUGACUACUAGAUUAUCCUUAGGACUCUGCAUUAACUCUAUAAUGUUCUUGGUAUUAAAAAAAAAACAAAGCAUAUUUGUCACAGAAAUUUAGUUAACAUCCUACAACUGAACAUGUAUGUAUGUUGCUUAGAUAAAUGUAAUCACUGUAAACAUCUAUAUGAUCUGGGAUUUUGUUUUUAUUUUGAAAUGGGAGCUUUUUUGUUUACAAGUUCAUUAAAAACUAAAAACUGUUUCUGUAAGGAAAUGAGAUUUUUUUUUUAAACAACAAAAAUGCCUUGCUGACUCACUAUAAAAUAAAAAUCUCCCCGAUUUUUUGAUAGACUACUUUAAGCCAUUUGUUACAUGGUAUUCCUUUGCAAGUCAAUUUAGGUUUCAUGUUAACUUUUCCUUUAAAAAAAAAAAAUCUAAUUAUUUUGUCUGAAGGGGAAAGGCAUUCUUUCAUUUUUUUUUUUUUUUAUGACUUGCAGGCACAAUAUCUAGUACUGCAACUGCCAGAACUUGGUAUUGUAGCUGCUGCCCGCUAGACUGAUUUUGAAUAAAGAUGAAAGCAUUAAAGGGUUUUCCUAUAAAACAUUUUUCUUUAAAAUACUUGUGAAAUGGCUAUAAGCAAUUGACUUUCAUCCUUGGAGAGCAUCACACUGUGUGAGGUUCAGUGAUCGUUGACCCUCCCCAGCCCCUCCUGCUUCUUUAUCUGUCUUUAUCUUUGUGCGUGCGCUUCCUCUCAAUUUUCUUUGCACGCUCAUUUCUUUUUCUCUGACCCAAGAGAAAGGAAAACUUACCGAUGAUAAUUUUAAAGUAGUGUAAUUUAUUCAUUUAUAGCAUGUCAGGAUAAAUUAAAAGAACAUUUGUCUGGAAAUGCUGCCAGGAGCCUAUUGUGUAAAUGUAGGUAUUUUGUAAAAUAACAUUGAAAUUGUAAAUUGACACGUGUUUGGUCAGAUUGUGUCAAGUUUGUUCUGUUUUCUUUUUUCUUUUUUUUAUUUGAAAACACUUUAGCAAUAAUUAAUUCCAUGAUUAUCACAUUCUGCCAUUAAGGGAGAUAGUACCGUAAUACUGAAGAAAUCUUAUUAAGUCUGAACUUUUGGGGUAGGCAGCUUUUUUGUUUCUUUUCUAUCCACCCUUGUUGGUUGAGGUAUUUGUUUCUUGACUAAUAAACCCUUUGAUACUUUUAGCCAGAAAUUGGUCUCAUAAAGCUAUUUUUGAGUAUAGUUUGUGUAAAAUAAAACUGUUUAGCUUUGGUAAUAACUUUUCCAAGCUGAACUCCCUCUAGCAAGAUAUUUUUCAGUGCUUUUAUUUACUAUGCACUUAGACUAUGCACUUUUUCUGAAAUAUUUUUGUAACACUUUUUUGUAUUUUUGCCAUUUGAAAAGGUUGUGGUGUAGUUGGUCUGUAAUUAAGUUGCAGAUUUAAAACUGCUGUUAGCUUUGUAAAUCAAAAUAUAGGUGUUUUUUGUCCUGGUAUAUCAUCAUUCCAUCUGCAGCUGGAGCUGGAAUCCCAUUGAUCUUCUAGCUACCAUUCAUUUUCUUCACAGUUCACAAAAGAAGAAUGUGAAAUUCAGUGAAUGCUGUUACUAAUCCUGUCGCGAGAUGAAUCUCAUUUCACCAAAAUUAAAUUAUGUUUUUCCGCUAAAAUGAUGAUACAAGUUGAAGACACAUCACUCUGAAAUUGGAAGACCUCACCACUUAAGGCUCCACAGUGGCUUACUCAGCUGAACUCUAGGUUACUACUCUUUACUUUGUUCACCCAUUGGGGGGUGCAGUUUUUUUAAAAUGUCGGGAGAUGGCCAUUCUAACUACUGUUGAAUGUCUGUUUUGGGAAGGUAUAACAAGAAAUAAAAAAGAAUAUAUAUGAA